UACGAAGGGGGCUAGCGUUGCUCGGAAUCACUGGGCGUAAAGGGCGCGUAGGCGGCCAUUCAAGUCGGGGGUGAAAGCCUGUGGCUCAACCACAGAAUUGCCUUCGAUACUGUUUGGCUUGAGUUUGGUAGAGGUUGGUGGAACUGCGAGUGUAGAGGUGAAAUUCGUAGAUAUUCGCAAGAACACCAGUGGCGAAGGCGGCCAACUGGACCAACACUGACGCUGAGGCGCGAAAGCG
rnacentral:rRNA from 1 species